rnacentral:rRNA from 1 species
AACGAACGCUGGCGGCGCGCCUAAUACAUGCAAGCCGAGCGAGAAGACGUAGCAAUACGUUUGUAAAGCGGCGAACGGGUGAGGAAUACAUGGGUAACCUACCCUCGAGUGGGGAAUAACUAGCCGAAAGGUUAGCUAAUACCGCGUACGCUCCUUGGACUUCGGUUCAGGGAGGAAAGCGAUACCGCGGGUAUCGCGCUCUUGGAUGGGCUCAUGUCCUAUCAGCUUGUUGGUGAGGUAACGGCUCACCAAGGCUUCGACGGGUAGCUGGUCUGAGAGGACGAUCAGCCACACUGGCACUGCGACACGGGCCAGACUCCUACGGGAGGCAGCAGUAAGGAAUAUUGCGCAAUGGGCGAAAGCCUGACGCAGCGACGCCGCGGUGGGGGAGUGAA